rnacentral:ncRNA from 1 species
UCUCCCGCUUCUCCUCCCUGAGCGGGUGCCUUAAUUCAAAGUUAAGGCGUUUUUGCCCCCGGUUUAUAUCCCCUUUACCGGGGGUUUUUUAU